CUCCAUCAAGCCGCCGCUCCCUUUCUGCCAGAGAACGCCACUGCCUCUCGCUGCUCAAGAAACGUGAUCAUAGUGCAUGACAGACGCCGCUCUAGAAACGUUGAUCAAGAAACACGGAUACGACAGGCGUCGCUGGUUCAUCCCGCGAUAGCUCAUCCCGUUGAUCUGCAGCUCGCCUCCCUCUAGAGUCGUGCUCUGCUGCACAUCCCGAUCUAAACAUAUUUCUGCAGCUCGCCUCUCUCUAGUCUAGAGGUUGCAGAGAUGGCGUCAAUGGCUCCGGAAAGAAAACGAGAAUCGUCUGAUCCACAUUAUCAAAGAGGAGCACCAGUUGUUGAAGGUGCCUGUUUGCAUGCCCGUGCAUACUUCAACUUCAACUCCUAUUGCAACUGGAGUUAAGGUGCCUUCUACCCCUGCUCUGAAUUAUGUGACGCUUGGAUCUUUCAGUUGGGAUCAGGAUAAUGACAAAGUCAAGGUAAUUAAUUUUACUAACAAGCAAAGAAUUUGUUGUAGGAUAUUCUGAAUUUCUGGCAUAAUCAUUUUAUCUUCUUUGGUUCUCUUCAUUCUUUGAAGAUUUUUGUCAUCCUUAUCAUCGUUCUUAUCAUUAUUCGAAGAUUUGGUGUAAGAAUGAUCUUUAUCAUUCUUACUCUUUGAAGAUAUGCAAGUUAUCUGCUAAUUCAUGACGUAAAAGUUAUUUUUAGCUAUGAGUUGAUGGGACUACACACAUCACUAUGCUGUACUGAAUUCUGAUUAAUGUAACUUCUACUUUUGUUUAUAUGAUAUUGCUGGAUAUGCCUGUUGAUUUCUUGCAUUGCCAUGGUACUUAAUUGAGGAUAGGAUUACAUGUCUACAUUUUUCUUUCUUCUGACUUUAAAUGCUUGGUAUCUUGUAGUUCAAUUCAUUUUACCUAUUAGUUCUGCAGUUCUCUAUUAAGGUUUGGUAGGUACAUUUAUAUGUGCUGAGCAAAAGGGGCAUGUCAUAAUAUAGAUGCAAAUGUUGGUGGUUGUCUUGUUUGAUUUGAAAUUUGCAUAAUUUGUCUGCAGUUGAGUUAUUACAUUAAAUUACUUAGUUCCGGAGUGCUAGAUGAUGAAAAGUUAGGAAUUGGAAGGAAAUGUUAAUCAGAAGCUUUUGGAUGUGAGUUAAUAGAGAAACUGAAGCUGAGGAACUUGAAUAGAUAAAUAUAAAAUAUCCAACAGAGUUUUGACCUUGUUAUUACUGCCAAUAGUUGAAGAUAAGCAUAAAUGGAAGACACAGAUGAUGUAAUAGGUUUUAUUGCUUGAAUCAUGGAUUUGUGUGAACAAUGGAUCUUCUCCACUUUGGUGAGAGUUUUUAGGUGGCAGGGUCAUUCCUAAAUCAUGUAUGUGGAGUUUUAAUGAAUUUGUGUUGGUUGUGAAUAACUUACAGAAUAUGUAUGAAGAAGGGGAUGGUGAAAUAAAAUGAACCAUUGCACAAGCAUGGGUCUGAUGCAAGAUCAGGCACAGCAGUUGAUCCAUUGCGGGGCUAUCGCUAACCAAAUUGGAAUUCAUUUAAAAGUUGGGAUAUCAUUUUGGUACAUGUUAAUGUUUCCAUGGUUUUUGUUUUAUGUCUUAGUUCAAUAUUUUGGUAUGAUUAUGCAGAAGAUUAGCCAGCUCUUGCUUCAAGUCUUAGUUCAAUUCAUUUUAUUCUCGCUUUAUUUUCAUUUGUUUUAAUCGAAGUAUUUUUGAGGGUUAAGUUUCCCUAUAAUUUCAUCAGUAGGUCCAAAUGCUGCUCUGCUAUCAUCCACUACCCUCUGAAGGCUGAAACAUGUGCUGAGCAUGAUCCAAAUAGCAUAUAUCUUUUUGAUUCAGGAGAUCCGGUUCUCUAUUCAGUGGCCACAAAUAUGUUUAUGCUAGAACUGUGAAAAUUUUACUUUGUUGGCAUUGCAAUUAGCUAAGGAAGGUGGUUUGAUUGUGUAGAAUUUUGUUGCUAUUUUAGAACGUGUGAUUUGCAGGUUCCAAUCUCAUUUUUAGUUGGCUUAAGUGUUUGCAUAGGUUCCUAUAUUGCUACUGAUUUUAAUAUAUAUUCUUUUUCAUUU